rnacentral:rRNA from 1 species
CCCUUAGAUGUUCUGGGCCGCACGCGCGCUACACUGAUGCAUUCAACGAGUUUCUUCCUGGUCCGAGAGGAAUGGGUAACCUUUUGAAAGUGCAUCGAGAUAGGGAUAGACUAUUGCAAUUAUUGGUCUUCAACGAGGAAUUCCUAGUAGACGUAGUUCAUCAGACUGCAUCGAUUACGUCCCUGCCCUUUGUACACACCGCCCGUCGCUCCUACCGAUUGAAUGCUCAGGUGAGCCAUUCGGACUUUCAUCAUGCUGGUUUCCAGUUUUGAUGAAGGAAAGUCUUGCGAACCUUAUCAUUUAGAGGAAGGAGAAGUCGUAACA